GAAAUGCGAUAAUUAAUGUGAAUUGCAGAAUUCAGUGAAUCAUCGAGUCUUUGAACGCACAUUGCGCCCCCUGGUAUUCCGGGGGGCAUGCCUGUCCGAGCGUCAUUGCUGCCCUCAAGCACGGCUUGUGUGUUGGGCUUCCGUCCCUGGCAACGGGGACGGGCCCAAAAGGCAGUGGCGGCACCAUGUCUGGUCCUCGAGCGUAUGGGGCUUUGUCACCCGCUCCCGUAGGUCCAGCUGGCAGCUAGCCUCGCAACCAAUCUUUUUAACCAGGUUGACCUCGGAUCAGAUAGGGAUACCCGCUGAACUUAAGC
rnacentral:misc_RNA from 1 species